AGGUCACGGACCACCCGACGUUGAGCAAAGCCCAUAGACAAACCAACGUGAAUAUCGCCACCGAACUUGAGACAUGAGGUCGAAUUCUCCAUUAAAACCGGUACGCACAAAUACUACGAAGCAGUGACAGCUUUUACCAUUCGCGACUUUAACAGUUACCGUCGACCGUUCGCUGGGGCCGUUACGGCAAAAUCUGCUGAUUCAUUGGACACUCGAAACAUCCAAACUUUAGAAAGAGGGUUAUUAUGAAGUAACUCACACUCGCACUCGGCACGUCUGUUAUUAAAGGGAAAGUGUGCUGGCGAGCUUUUAUUCUCCAACCGCGCCGCCUGAAAACUGGGUCAGCUGACUGUAAGGACUUCAGCUAACACUGCCACGAUGACCUAGGUCAGGUCACCACUGAAUUAUAGUUCGCGCUCCGGCCAAUCGAUACAGGCAGGUGCGAUGGCGCCUUGCCUAUACUCCCUGGUAUAUUGCACCUAUUGCGCCCUCUUUUUGAAGCCUCAACUUAAAUUGUAUUAAAUUUUCUGCAACCUCAACAUUCGGUCUUAAUUUCUGUGUCAGCGACAUUUUUUUCUCAUGCUAAAUGGUUUUUGUACACGUACAUGAUAUAAUUUGCUUCUAUUUUAACUUUUUAACAUUUAAUGGGCGAUGUAAAUCCAUUCGAUGACAUUUUUUGGCAAUUUUCACAGAACAUCUAGAAUAUGGCAGAUUGUUGAUAAGCUGACGACAAAUGAUAAUUCUAAAGUCAGUAUUAGAAAUAUGGCCCUGAUCUGUCUGAUUUGCAGAGGGAGUGUCGGAUGAUAAGAACUGAUAAUUGAAAUGUUCUUGCCGCUUGUAACAUGUAAAAAGUUAUUUGUGAUUCAAUUUAAAUAAUUUAAUUCAAUUUA